rnacentral:snoRNA from 1 species
UGCAAGGGCACUCUGUGUUAAUCAUGUCUCAUAUGAUAUCACAAUUUGUUACCUUGCUAUAGUAAAACUAUUAUACCCUAUUCUGGAUGGCUAAUUAUUGUCAAUUCAGUCAUAAUAAUAGUGACAUUUACUCUAA